rnacentral:rRNA from 1 species
GACAGAGGGCGCAAACGUUGUUCGGAAUUACUGGGCGUAAAGCGCGUGUAGGCGGCCCUGCAAGUCGGAUGUGAAAUCCCACGGCUCAACCGUGGAAGUGCAUUCGAAACUGCAGGGCUAGAGUCCUGGAGAGGAAGGUGGAAUGCUUGGUGUAGAGGUGAAAUUCGUAGAUAUCAAGCGGAACACCGGUGGCGAAGGCGGCUCACUGGCCCGGUACUGACGCUGAGGUGCGAAAGCGUGGGGAGCAAACAGGG